GGACUACCGGGGUAUCUAAUCCCGUUUGCUCCCCACGCUUUCGUGCCUGAGUGUCAGGAACGAACCAGUACCCUGCUUACGCCAUCGGUGUUCCUCCCAAUAUCUACGGAUUUCACUCCUACACUGGGAAUUCCAGGUACCUCUCUCGUCCUCUAGCUUAGCAGUUCAAACAAUGUAUAUAUGGUUGAGCCAUACGCUUUCACUAUCUGCUUACUAUGCCACCUACGCAACUCUUUACGCCCAGUAAUUCCGGAUAACGCUUGGAUCCUCCGUAUUACCGCGGCUGCUGGCAC
rnacentral:rRNA from 1 species